rnacentral:rRNA from 1 species
CCUACGGGUGGCUGCAGUGAGGAAUAUUGGUCAAUGGGCGAGAGCCUGAACCAGCCAAGUCGCGUGAGGGAAGACGGUACUAUGGAUUGUAAACCUCUUUUGCCGGGGAACAAAAAGUGGUACGUGUACCGGACUGAGAGUACCCGGAGAAAAAGCAUCGGCUAACUCCGUGCCAGCAGCCGCGGUAAUACGGAGGAUGCGAGCGUUAUCCGGAUUUAUUGGGUUUAAAGGGUGCGGAGGCCGCCUGUCAAGCGUGCUGUGAAAUGUCGGGGCUCAACCCCGGCCUGGCGGCGCGAACUGGCAUGCUUGAGUCCGCGGAAAGCAGGCGGAAGUCGCGGUGUAGCGGUGAAAUGCUUAGAUAUGGCGCAGAACCCCGAUUGCGAAGGCAGCUUGCUGCAUCGGCACUGACGCUGAGGCACGGAAGCGUGGGUAUCGAGCAGGAUUAGAUACCCCAGUAGUC